CCUACGGGAGGCAGCAGUGGGGAAUAUUGGACAAUGGGCGAAAGCCUGAUCCAGCAAUGCCGCGUGAGUGAUGAAGGCCUUAGGGUUGUAAAGCUCUUUUACCCGGGAAGAUAAUGACUGUACCGGGAGAAUAAGCCCCGGCUAACUCCGUGCCAGCAGCCGCGGUAAUACGGAGGGGGCUAGCGUUAUUCGGAAUUACUGGGCGUAAAGCGUACGUAGGCGGUGGUUCAAGUCAGAGGUGAAAGCCCGGAGCUCAACUCCGGAACUGCCUUUGAAACUAGAUCGCUAGAACAUCGGAGAGGUAAGUGGAAUUCCGAGUGUAGAGGUGAAAUUCGUAGAUAUUCGGAAGAACACCAGUGGCGAAGGCGGCUUACUGGACGAUUGUUGACGCUGAGGUACGAAAGCGUGGGGAGCAAACAGGAUUAGAUACCCUGGUAGUCCACGCCGUAAACGAUGAUAACUAGCUGUUGGGCCUCAUAGAGGCUCAGUGGCGCAGCUAACGCAUUAAGUUAUCCGCCUGGGGAGUACGGUCGCAAGAUUAAAACUCAAUGAAUUGACGG
rnacentral:rRNA from 1 species